GGGGGGGGGGGGCUAAUACAUGCAAGUCGAACGCUUUUUCUUUCACCGGAAGCUUGCUCCACCGAAAGAAAAAGAGUGGCGAACGGGUGAGUAACACGUGGGUAACCUGCCCAUCAGAAGGGGAUAACACUUGGAAACAGGUGCUAAUACCGUAUAACACUAUUUUCCGCAUGGAAGAAAGUUGAAAGGCGCUUUUGCGUCACUGAUGGAUGGACCCGCGGUGCAUUAGCUAGUUGGUGAGGUAACGGCUCACCAAGGCAACGAUGCAUAGCCGACCUGAGAGGGUGAUCGGCCACACUGGGACUGAGACACGGCCCAGACUCCUACGGGAGGCAGCAGUAGGGAAUCUUCGGCAAUGGACGAAAGUCUGACCGAGCAACGCCGCGUGAGUGAAGAAGGUUUUCGGAUCGUAAAACUCUGUUGUUAGAGAAGAACAAGGAUGAGAGUAAAAUGUUCAUCCCUUGACGGUAUCUAACCAGAAAGCCACGGCUAACUACGUGCCAGCAGCCGCGGUAAUACGUAGGUGGCAAGCGUUGUCCGGAUUUAUUGGGCGUAAAGCGAGCGCAGGCGGUUUCUUAAGUCUGAUGUGAAAGCCCCCGGCUCAACCGGGGAGGGUCAUUGGAAACUGGGAGACUUGAGUGCAGAAGAGGAGAGUGGAAUUCCAUGUGUAGCGGUGAAAUGCGUAGAUAUAUGGAGGAACACCAGUGGCGAAGGCGGCUCUCUGGUCUGUAACUGACGCUGAGGCUCGAAAGCGUGGGGAGCGAACAGGAUUAGAUACCCUGGUAGUCCACGCCGUAAACGAUGAGUGCUAAGUGUUGGAGGGUUUCCGCCCUUCAGUGCUGCGGCAAACGCAUUAGGCACUCCGCCUGGGGAGUACGACCGCAAGGUUGAAACUCAAAGGAAUUGACGGGGGCCCGCACAACCGGUGGAGCAUGUGGUUUAAUUCGAAGCAACGCGAAAAACCUUACCAGGUCUUGACAUCCUUUGACCACUCUAGAGAUGGAGCUUCCCCUUCGGGGCCAAGUGACAGGUGGUGCAUGGUUGUCGUCAGCUCGUGUCCUGAAAUGUUGGGUUAAUUCCCGCAACAAAAGCAACCCUUAUUGUUAAUUGCCUUCAUUUAGUUGGGCCUCUUAGCGAAAAUGCCCGUGAAAAACCGGAAAAAAGGGGGGAGACCGUCCAAUCCUCUGGCCCCUUUUGACUGGGGCUACCCCGGGGUCAAAUGGGAAAUCAACGAAGUUGGGAAUUCCGGGGGUUAGGUAAAUCCUUAAAGAAUUCCC
rnacentral:rRNA from 1 species